rnacentral:lncRNA from 1 species
UACUCAUCACGAAUCAUGCAUUGCAUUGGAUGCAUACCCUCCACCAGGGGCGGAGCCAGGAUUUGAACAUAGGGGGGGCCGUGCAAAUCAAAAACAAUCAUGUGUGUCAAAAUAUUACAUGACAAAGGUGUACAUAGCACCAAAAUAAAUAUUUGCGACAAAAAAGCAGAAAAAAUAAAGAGAAAUUAAUUAUUCUCAAGCCCCUAACCUUUACCUGAUCAAUCUAUUUCUUUGGCCAGGAAAAGAAUCACAGUAAAACAAGUAGUUAAACGGGGGCAAAAUUAAUUAGUACUAGAUCCUAACAUCAAAUGACAAACAAUCAGUUACAUAUCUUUUAGCCUCAGACAAGGCGAUCACUUAAACGGGUAAAAUGGUCAUUUAAAUAGAAGGUUAAACCAAAACACCAUACCACUGUUAGUGUUUAAAAGUUGAGUACACGUACUUAAUGACCAUUUAGAAUUUAGACGAAUAAUGAUAGAAACAUAGGAGAUAAGAAAGAUAAUAGGAAGACUAAUGCUAAAUAAUAUAGAUCCCAUUGUUGGAGAUCAAUUCAAAAGGAUUCAACAAAAAAAAACACUGAUUUUCAAUUAACUAGCUAAUUAGAGUGUGU